GAUGAACGCUGGCGGCGUGCCUAAUACAUGCAAGUCGAGCGAACAGACGAGGAGCUUGCUCCUCUGACGUUAGCGGCGGACGGGUGAGUAACACGUGGAUAACCUACCUAUAAGACUGGGAUAACUUCGGGAAACCGGAGCUAAUACCGGAUAAUAUAUUGAACCGCAUGGUUCAAUAGUGAAAGGCGGUUUUGCUGUCACUUAUAGAUGGAUCCGCGCCGCAUUAGCUAGUUGGUAAGGUAACGGCUUACCAAGGCAACGAUGCGUAGCCGACCUGAGAGGGUGAUCGGCCACACUGGAACUGAGACACGGUCCAGACUCCUACGGGAGGCAGCAGUAGGGAAUCUUCCGCAAUGGGCGAAAGCUUGACGGAGCAACGCCGCGUGAGCGAUGAAGGUCUUCGGAUCGUAAAACUCUGUUAUUAGGGAAGAACAAAUGUGUAAGUAACUAUGCACGUCUUGACGGUACCUAAUCAGAAAGCCACGGCUAACUACGUG
rnacentral:rRNA from 1 species